rnacentral:rRNA from 1 species
AUUGAACGCUGGCGGCAGGCCUAACACAUGCAAGUCGAACGAGUGGCGGACGGGUGAGUAAUGUCUGGGCAACUGCCUGAUUGAGGGGGAUAACUACUGGAAACGGUAGCUAAUACCGCAUACCAUCAGAUGUUCCCAGAUGGGAUUAGCUAGUUGGUGGGGUAACGGCUCACCAAGGCGACGAUCCCUAUCUGGUCUGAGAGGAUGACAAGCCAAACUGGAACUGAGACACGGUCCAGACUCCUACGGGAGGCAGCAGUGGGGAAUAUUGAACAAUGGGCGAAAGCCUGAUGCAGCCAUGCCGCGUGUAUGAAGAAGGCCUUAGGGUUGUAAAGUGCUUUCAGCGGGGAGGCGUUACCCGAAGAAGAAGCACCGGCUAACUCCGUGCCAGCAGCCGCGGUAAUUC